UUCUAUUUUUGUUUCAUCAGACCAGAGGAUGUCUGGAAGAGAAUGAGGUGGUGAAGAGAAUGAGGACUCGAGAGGCGUUUCAGCUGCACCUUCUGUGGGAAGAGCUUCCAGGGUUUCAGCGAGCUCUAAGUACACCUCCGGAGUCACACCUGAGAGAAACCGUACACCUGUGAACAGUGUGGCAGGAGUUUCACCAAACAGUGCAACCUGAUCAGACAUGCUGUAGUCCACAGUGGGGAGAAGCCCUUCGAGUGCACACAAUGUGGGAAAUGCUUCACCCAGCGCUCUAACAUGACAUCACAUCAGAGAACUCACAUAGGAGAGAGUCCAGUGUCUCAAUACGUGGCACCUGCAUACCCUGGGGAUCCACACACAAGUUUAAUGUCGUCUCAGAACAGAUGGAACAAAUAGGAACAUAAUUACAAUUCCUAUGUGAAAAUAUAGUAAAGAUAUUUUUGAACAUUUUGACAAGAUUCUUCUCCUAAUUGAUUUGUGGAAUGGUUUUCAUAUUUGACUGUUAACGGAUCCUUAUUUACAGCUGGUAACAUUGUGUAUUUUUACCACAAAAUCGUUAAAAAAAACAUUAUAUUCAAUAACAUUUAUUUAAUGAAAGAGUCAGUCUGUGCUUUUAGAUGAAUAAUAUGUAGGAUCCAUUUAGUCUGUAUUGUCUAGGUAGUGUCUGACUAUCUGGGAUGUCACGUCUUGCCACAAGGGACAGUCUCAUAUCAGGUCAGGUUAAUAACUCAAUUCAACUUGAUUUUCAGUUAGAUUUUGAAGUUAUUCUGCUGCCUUAAAAUGUUAAGUUACUGUGUGUCUUCUCAAAACUAGACAAAACAAAUAUUUGUUUCAGUGUAAUAUGCUAUACAUGUUCAUAGAACUUUAGAUUUGAAAUCUGGAAACGACAUUUAUUUAAGCUGACACCACUGGUACUGUAUAAAACUGGUCAUCUAAAUCAAAGGUCACUAGAUGCUGUAGAUGGCUAAAUAGAUGAGAGAAAUUGAUUGGUAGUUUGAAGGAUUUACUGUUUCAUUGAUUUGCCAGAGGCAGAGAUAAUGGGGGAGAGAGAAAGAGAAAGUGAGAGACUCAGGAAGUCAACAGGGGAAGUUAGUGGUUUCUUACGUCAACGCUUGCUGCUGCUUGGUUGUGCCGGUGCAGAGUGAAGAGUUGGUGGUGUGUGGAGAUUCCAAGGGAAACGUGGUUCAAGCAGCCACCAAACAUCAACUCCUGGAGCAGCAGGAAACCUGUGAGAUCUUUUCCUCUGAUGAAACUGAAGAUUGAUUUUCCCUAGGCACACAGUGACAGGAUCAGUGUACUGCGACUCAACAACAGCACGAUGAUCUCAGCGUCCCAUGACAAAACUGUGGGACAGAAACACCAAGAAACAGGUGGGUGUGUGUGUGGGUCCUGUUAUGGUCUUGGAGUUGAACCCACACUGCUCCAGUGAACUGGCGUGUGUCGUCGAUGCACUGGGCCAGCUCUACUUCCUCUCCUGGAGAGAAUAACCACCCAGUCUACACACACAGUCCAUUGUAUACACACACUGCUCCAUAUACAUCCAAUCAUAAUUAACUAACUCUCACACGGAUAUGUCAGUACUACUGUAAUUGUUUGCAUAUUCUCUCAGGCAGCUCCAUCAAUGCCAUCUUCUACACACUAUCUAAUAUGCAUACUCUUUAUAUCUAAUACCUCUAAUUAUAUAUGUACGUGCCUUAAAAACCCUAAGUGAAGAACCUCAAUGUAAAUCAGCUAUAAUGCAUAUUAUUUUAAGUUUACAUGAAAAUAGAUUAUUGUCCUUGAUCCCCAGCUGUGUCAAAGAAGUUAUAUCCCUUUAAUAAAUACUAUACCACAUUUUCAGAAUGGUUUCAUUAGGUUGUGUGGAUCACAAUAGAGAUGGCAAUAUUUUAAAUGUUUAACAAUUUCCUGACACCUGUGUUCAAUCCUUUAUAAAGGCAUUAUUAGACUCAUAAGGAACCAUAACUUUUAAUAAUGGUUGAAUAAAGUGUUUUUGUAUUUUA